AAUGAACGCUGGCGGCAGGCCUAAUACAUGCAAGUCGAACGAGUGGCGGUCGGGUGAGUAAUGUCUGGGAAACUGCCACAUGGCUGGGGAUAACUACUGGAAACGGUAGCUAAUACCGCAUACCUUCAGAUGUUCGCAGCUGGGAUUAGCUAGUUGGUGGUGUAACGGCUGACCAAGGAGACGAUCCCUAGCUGGUCUGAGAGGAUGACCGGCAACACGGGAACUGAGACACGGUCCAGACUCCGACGGGAGGCGGCAGUGGGGAAUAUUGCACAAUGGGCGAAAGCCUGCUGCAGCAAUGCCGCGUGUAUGAGGAAGGCCUUCGGGUUGUAAAGUACUUUCAGCAGGGAGGCGGUACCCAAAGAGAAAGCACCGGCUAACUCCGUGCCAGCAGCCGCGGUAAUAC
rnacentral:rRNA from 1 species